AGGCGUCGAGCGGCGGACGGGUGAGUAAUACUUAGGAAUCUACCUAGUAGUGGGGGAUAGCACGGGGAAACUCGUAUUAAUACCGCAUACGACCUACGGGAGAAAGGGGGCAGUUUACUGCUCUCGCUAUUAGAUGAGCCUAAGUCGGAUUAGCUAGAUGGUGGGGUAAAGGCCUACCAUGGCGACGAUCUGUAGCUGGUCUGAGAGGAUGAUCAGCCACACCGGGACUGAGACACGGCCCGGACUCCUACGGGAGGCAGCAGUGGGGAAUAUUGGACAAUGGGGGAAACCCUGAUCCAGCCAUGCCGCGUGUGUGAAGAAGGCCUUUUGGUUGUAAAGCACUUUAAGCAGUGAAGAAGACUCCGUGGUUAAUACCCACGGACGAUGACAUUAGCUGCAGAAUAAGCACCGGCUAACUCUGUGCCAGCAGCCGCGGUAAUACAGAGGGUGCAAGCGUUAAUCGGAAUUACUGGGCGUAAAGGGAGCGUAGGUGGCUCGAUAAGUCAGAUGUGAAAUCCCCGGGCUCAACCUGGGAACUGCAUCUGAUACUGUUGAGCUAGAGUAUGUGAGAGGAAGGUAGAAUUCCAGGUGUAGCGGUGAAAUGCGUAGAGAUCUGGAGGAAUACCGAUGGCGAAGGCAGCCUUCUGGCAUAAUACUGACACUGAGGCUCGAAAGCGUGGGUAGCAAACAGGAUUAGAUACCCUGGUAGUCCACGCCGUAAACGAUGUCUACUAGUCGUUGGGUCCCUUGAGGACUUAGUGACGCAGCUA
rnacentral:rRNA from 1 species